UACGUAGGGGGCUAGCGUUGUCCGGAAUCAUUGGGCGUAAAGAGCGUGUAGGCGGUCCGGUAAGUCCGCUGUGAAAGUCGGGGGCUCAACCCUCGAAUGCCGGUGGAUACUGUCGGGCUAGAGUGCGGAAGAGGCGAGUGGAAUUCCUGGUGUAGCGGUGAAAUGCGCAGAUAUCAGGAAGAGCACCCGUGGCGAAGGCGGCUCUCUGGGACGGUACUGACGCUGAGACGCGAAAGCGUGGGGAGCGAACAGG
rnacentral:rRNA from 1 species